rnacentral:rRNA from 1 species
UGGGGAAUAUUGGACAAUGGGCGAAAGCCUGAUCCAGCCAUGCCGCGUGUGUGAAGAAGGCCUUUUGGUUGUAAAGCACUUUAAGCGAGGAGGAGGCUACUUAGAUUAAUACUCUAGGAUAGUGGACGUUACUCGCAGAAUAAGCACCGGCUAACUCUGUGCCAGCAGCCGCGGUAAUACAGAGGGUGCGAGCGUUAAUCGGAUUUACUGGGCGUAAAGCGUGCGUAGGCGGCUUUUUAAGUCGGAUGUGAAAUCCCUGGGCUUAACUCAGGAAUGGCAUUGGAUACUGGGAAGCUAGAGUAUGGGAGGGGAUGGUGGAAUUCCAGGGGUAGCGGUGAAAUUCGUAGAGAUCUGGAGGAAUACCGAUGGCGAAGGCAGCCAUCUGGCCUAAUACUGACGCUGAGGUACGAAAGCAUGGGGAGCAAACAGG